rnacentral:rRNA from 1 species
AAUGAACGCUGGCGGCAUGCCUUACACAUGCAAGUCGAACGGCAGCAUGACCUAGCUUGCUAGGUUGAUGGCGAGUGGCGAACGGGUGAGUAAUACAUCGGAACGUGCCUUUUAGUGGGGGAUAACGUAGCGAAAGUUACGCUAAUACCGCAUAUUCUCUGAGGAGGAAAGCAGGGGACCUUCGGGCCUUGCGCUAGAAGAGCGGCCGAUGUCGGAUUAGCUAGUUGGUGAGGUAAAGGCUCACCAAGGCAACGAUCCGUAGCGGGUCUGAGGGGAUGAUCCGCCACACUGGGACUGAGACACGGCCCAGACUCCUACGGGAGGCAGCAGUGGGGAAUUUUGGACAAUGGGCGCAAGCCUGAUCCAGCCAUGCCGCGUGAGUGAAGAAGGCCUUCGGGUUGUAAAGCUCUUUCGGCUGGGAAGAAAUCGCACCCUCUAAUACAGGGUGUGGAUGACGGUACCAGCAUAAGAAGCACCGGCUAACUACGUG